GCGAUAAGCGUCGGUAAGGUGAUAUGAACCGUUAUAACCGGCGAUUUCCGAAUGGGGAAACCCAGUGUGUUUCGACACACUAUCAUUAACUGAAUCCAUAGGUUAAUGAGGCGAACCGGGGGAACUGAAACAUCUAAGUACCCCGAGGAAAAGAAAUCAACCGAGAUUCCCCCAGUAGCGGCGAGCGAACGGGGAGCAGCCCAGAGCCUGAAUCAGUGUGUGUGUUAGUGGAAGCGUCUGGAAAGGCGCGCGAUACAGGGUGACAGCCCCGUACACAAAAAUGCACAUGCUGUGAGCUCGAUGAGUAGGGCGGGACACGUGGUAUCCUGUCUGAAUAUGGGGGGACCAUCCUCCAAGGCUAAAUACUCCUGACUGACCGAUAGUGAACCAGUACCGUGAGGGAAAGGCGAAAAGAACCCCGGCGAGGGGAGUGAAAAAGAACCUGAAACCGUGUACGUACAAGCAGUGGGAGCACGCUUAGGCGUGUGACUGCGUACCUUUUGUAUAAUGGGUCAGCGACUUAUAUUCUGUAGCAAGGUUAACCGAAUAGGGGAGCCGAAGGGAAACCGAGUCUUAACUGGGCGUUAAGUUGCAGGGUAUAGACCCGAAACCCGGUGAUCUAGCCAUGGGCAGGUUGAAGGUUGGGUAACACUAACUGGAGGACCGAACCGACUAAUGUUGAAAAAUUAGCGGAUGACUUGUGGCUGGGGGUGAAAGGCCAAUCAAACCGGGAGAUAGCUGGUUCUCCCCGAAAGCUAUUUAGGUAGCGCCUCGUGAACUCAUCUCCGGGGGUAGAGCACUGUUUCGGCAAGGGGGUCAUCCCGACUUACCAACCCGAUGCAAACUGCGAAUACCGGAGAAUGUUAUCACGGGAGACACACGGCGGGUGCUAACGUCCGUCGUGAAGAGGGAAACAACCCAGACCGCCAGCUAAGGUCCCAAAGUCAUGGUUAAGUGGGAAACGAUGUGGGAAGGCCCAGACAGCCAGGAUGUUGGCUUAGAAGCAGCCAUCAUUUAAAGAAAGCGUAAUAGCUCACUGGUCGAGUCGGCCUGCGCGGAAGAUGUAACGGGGCUAAACCAUGCACCGAAGCUGCGGCAGCGACGCUGAUGCGUUGUUGGGUAGGGGAGCGUUCUGUAAGCCUGUGAAGGUGUGCUGUGAGGCAUGCUGGAGGUAUCAGAAGUGCGAAUGCUGACAUAAGUAACGAUAAAGCGGGUGAAAAGCCCGCUCGCCGGAAGACCAAGGGUUCCUGUCCAACGUUAAUCGGGGCAGGGUGAGUCGACCCCUAAGGCGAGGCCGAAAGGCGUAGUCGAUGGGAAACAGGUUAAUAUUCCUGUACUUGGUGUUACUGCGAAGGGGGGACGGAGAAGGCUAUGUUGGCCGGGCGACGGUUGUCCCGGUUUAAGCGUGUAGGCUGGUUUUCCAGGCAAAUCCGGAAAAUCAAGGCUGAGGCGUGAUGACGAGGCACUACGGUGCUGAAGCAACAAAUGCCCUGCUUCCAGGAAAAGCCUCUAAGCAUCAGGUAACAUCAAAUCGUACCCCAAACCGACACAGGUGGUCAGGUAGAGAAUACCAAGGCGCUUGAGAGAACUCGGGUGAAGGAACUAGGCAAAAUGGUGCCGUAACUUCGGGAGAAGGCACGCUGAUAUGUAGGUGAAGUCCCUCGCGGAUGGAGCUGAAAUCAGUCGAAGAUACCAGCUGGCUGCAACUGUUUAUUAAAAACACAGCACUGUGCAAACACGAAAGUGGACGUAUACGGUGUGACGCCUGCCCGGUGCCGGAAGGUUAAUUGAUGGGGUCAGCGCAAGCGAAGCUCUUGAUCGAAGCCCCGGUAAACGGCGGCCGUAACUAUAACGGUCCUAAGGUAGCGAAAUUCCUUGUCGGGUAAGUUCCGACCUGCACGAAUGGCGUAAUGAUGGCCAGGCUGUCUCCACCCGAGACUCAGUGAAAUUGAACUCGCUGUGAAGAUGCAGUGUACCCGCGGCAAGACGGAAAGACCCCGUGAACCUUUACUAUAGCUUGACACUGAACAUUGAGCCUUGAUGUGUAGGAUAGGUGGGAGGCUUAGAAGUGUGGACGCCAGUCUGCAUGGAGCCGACCUUGAAAUACCACCCUUUAAUGUUUGAUGUUCUAACGUUGACCCGUAAUCCGGGUUGCGGACAGUGUCUGGUGGGUAGUUUGACUGGGGCGGUCUCCUCCUAAAGAGUAACGGAGGAGCACGAAGGUUGGCUAAUCCUGGUCGGACAUCAGGAGGUUAGUGCAAUGGCAUAAGCCAGCUUGACUGCGAGCGUGACGGCGCGAGCAGGUGCGAAAGCAGGUCAUAGUGAUCCGGUGGUUCUGAAUGGAAGGGCCAUCGCUCAACGGAUAAAAGGUACUCCGGGGAUAACAGGCUGAUACCGCCCAAGAGUUCAUAUCGACGGCGGUGUUUGGCACCUCGAUGUCGGCUCAUCACAUCCUGGGGCUGAAGUAGGUCCCAAGGGUAUGGCUGUUCGCCAUUUAAAGUGGUACGCGAGCUGGGUUUAGAACGUCGUGAGACAGUUCGGUCCCUAUCUGCCGUGGGCGCUGGAGAACUGAGGGGGGCUGCUCCUAGUACGAGAGGACCGGAGUGGACGCAUCACUGGUGUUCGGGUUGUCACGCCAAUGGCACUGCCCGGUAGCUAAAUGCGGAAGAGAUAAGUGCUGAAAGCAUCUAAGCACGAAACUUGCCCCGAGAUGAGUUCUCCCUGACCCUUUAAGGGUCCUGAAGGAACGUUGAAGACGACGACGUUGAUAGGCCGGGUGUGUAAGCGCAGCGAUGCGUUGAGCUAACCGGUACUAAUGAACCGUGAGGCUUAACCUU
rnacentral:rRNA from 1 species